UACAGAGGGUGCAAGCGUUGUUCGGAAUCAUUGGGCGUAAAGGGCGUGUAGGCGGUUUGUUAAGUCAUGUGUGAAAUCCCUCGGCUCAACCGGGGAACGACGCAUGAAACUGGCAAGCUAGAGUACCAAAGAGGGCGGUGGAAUUCCCGGUGUAGCGGUGAAAUGCGUAGAGAUCGGGUGGAACACCAGGGGCGAAGGCGGCAUCCUGGCUCUGUACUGACGCUGAGGCGCGAGAGCGUGGGGGAGCAAACCGG
rnacentral:rRNA from 1 species